CUUCACUUCAACUUUAAGCCCUACCGACUCCAUCUAUUUGUUUAACGUAACUGGGUUGGUUUUAUUACGAAUCAACUGCAUCAAACACUAUUUACCAACUUUCUCUUUAUAAGGUUGAACUAUCAGCAUACUUGCGUGAGGUUCGUUAACAUGAAUAUAGUAAUUUGGACGAAUAUUCAUUUAUUCUUAAUUAUAGCUGUUUGUAUGAUGAAAAUAGUAAUAUAUGUUUAUUUUGUAUUUAUAGCUGUUUGGAAGAAUUUAUAGCUGUUUGGAUGAAUUUAUAGUUGGAUGAUUAUUUUAUAAAUUUUGUUUAUGUUUGGUUGAAUAACAUUACUUUAUAUUUGUUGUUAUGCUUGGAUGAUUGACAAUAAUAAUAUUUUCUAAAAAGGUAAUAUAAAAAAAUCAGAUUGUUGUAUUAUUUACUAAAAAAUGAUAACAUGAAAAAAAGAAGAUAAAAAAGAUUAACAUGAAAAAAAGAAAAAAAAAAAGUUUGCCAUGGACAAAAAUCAGUUUUUUAAGUCUAAAAAAAACAGUGUUGUCAACAUAAAAAAAGAAAAAGAAAAAAAGGAUAACUAGUGUUGUUUAAUUCGCUUCUAGAAUAACAUGAAAAAAUGAAAUAAAAAAACAGUUUUUUAAGAAAAGAGU